AGUGAACGCUGGCGGUAGGCCUAACACAUGCAAGUCGAACGGCAGCACAGUAAGAGCUUGCUCUUACGGGUGGCGAGUGGCGGACGGGUGAGGAAUACAUCGGAAUCUACUUUUUCGUGGGGGAUAACGAAGGGAAACUUACGCUAAUACCGCAUACGACCUACGGGUGAAAGCAGGGGAUCUUCGGACCUUGCGCGAUUGAAUGAGCCGAUGUCGGAUUAGCUAGUUGGCGGGGUAAAGGCCCACCAAGGCGACGAUCCGUAGCUGGUCUGAGAGGAUGAUCAGCCACACUGGAACUGCGACACGGUCCAGACUCCUACGGGAGGCCGCAGUGGGGAAUAUUGGACAAUGGGCGCAAGCCUGCUCCCGCCAUACCGCGUGGGUGAAGAAGGCCUUCGGGUUGUAAAGCCCUUUUGUUGGGAAAGAAAAGCAGCAGGUUAAUACCCCGCUGUUCUGACGGUACCCAAAGAAUAAGCACCGGCUAACUUCGUG
rnacentral:rRNA from 1 species